AAAUUGAAGAGUUUGAUCAUGGCUCAGAUUGAACGCUGGCGGCAGGCCUAACACAUGCAAGUCGAACGGUAACAGGAAGCAGCUUGCUGCUUUGCUGACGAGUGGCGGACGGGUGAGUAAUGUCUGGGAAACUGCCUGAUGGAGGGGGAUAACUACUGGAAACGGUGGCUAAUACCGCAUAACGUCGCAAGACCAAAGAGGGGGACCUUCGGGCCUCUUGCCAUCAGAUGUGCCCAGAUGGGAUUA
rnacentral:rRNA from 9 species